UUUAAUAAACCUCAGAACAAAGUCUAUGUAACGUGGAAACACGAAUCCCUGGAUGAGCCGGAGACCAGAACACUGACUGUAAGAGAUCUGCCCUGGCGCCCACAAGUCGGAGAGAUCGUCAUUCCCAACCUGGAAGAAGAUAAGAAGGCCGAUCUGACCUGUAACAUCUCCGGAUAUUUCCCAGAUCAUCUGAA